rnacentral:misc_RNA from 1 species
UACACCCUCACCCCUCCCAACUUGUUGGGCGUGUUUGCUCUGUUUGCAAGCCAUUGGGGUGGAUCUGGCUUCCCCAAUCAUGUCCGUUUCACUGCGGCAGAUUGGGCUGGCUGAAGUGCAGAGGCUUAAGCAAGGACCCGAUAUGGGCUUCAACUGGAUAGGUAGCACCGGCUCUUGCCGACUACACGAAGUUGUUGCUUGUGGAUCUUGCUAGGAGCCAAGCAGGAACGUGCCUUUGGCAUGUCUAAAC